CUCUUCAGUGUCUGGAGGCUGCACCAAUUAGUUCUAGGUUUCUUCACUCUCUAGGGUUUUAUUUCAAGGAAAUUUAGAAUUUAUAUCCUGAUUUUUGUGGCUUGGUGGGCUCAGAAUGAAGGCAGUUCAGGCCCAUGAUCUUUCUGUUAUACUUUUUUAUUUUCAAAACGCGUGGGCUUCGCCUAGCGAAGAAUUUUGCUCGCCUAGCGAGCAUGACAGUUCAAAGAGUUCUUCUGAGCGCAGGUGAUUCUGGUGCUUAUCU
rnacentral:lncRNA from 1 species